GACGUAGGGCGCGAGCGUUGUCCGGAUUUAUUGGGCGUAAAGAGCUCGUAGGCGGCUCGUUGCGUCGGCUGUGAAAACCCGCAGCUCAACUGUGGGCUUGCAGCUGAUACGGGCGGGCUGGAGUUCGGUAGGGGAGACUGGAAUUCCUGGUGUAGCGGUGAAAUGCGCAGAUAUCGGGAGGAACACCAGUGGCGAAGGCGGCACUCUGGGCCAGUACUGACACUGAGGAGCGAAAGCGUGGGGAGCGAACAGG
rnacentral:rRNA from 1 species